UGACUUUCCAAAGGUCCUACAACUGGUGUCCGAAAUAAGAAUUGAACCCAGGUUCCAUGACUCUAAAUCUAGCUCUCUUUCCACCAGACUCUGCUUAGAAAUGUCUAAUUACACACACUUUCUACAAGUGCUGCUAAGAGUCUCUGUGUAUAGGUAAUUUUCAACUAGAUUGUAAGCUUCAUGAGGGCAGGGGCUAUCCCACAUGCAGUGCUAUCAUUUGCAGUGAAAGAGUGUCGGUCUUGGUGUCCAGCCUCCUCAUUCAUCUAAAAAGUGAGAUUCUGCAGCAAUGAAAGCACUCUUCCUUCACCUGGUGGCGUACUAGUUAUUCCCAGUUAUAAUCAUGGGAGGAGCUUCGGACAUCCUUAGAUGUGAUGUGAAUCAUGACUCAUCAAGCUGAACCAGAGAAGGGAAUCUAGCAAUCCGGACAUGUGCAGUGGGCAGCUCCAUAUGCCCCAUACAUCAGCCUUUAUGAAAUCUACAGGAUAGUGGACUCAGCCCUAACAACUGGAGGUUUCUCCAUACCACCUCUGUCUUCCUUAAGCUUUAUGGGUAUUAAAUAGUAGCAGAAAAUUACCUAGUUAAAAUGUAUACUUUUUUUUUAAAUCACAAUAUUAACAAUUUUGACUUCAUGGUUUUAUUCCUUACUUUGUUCAUUCACUUGUUUGGGGGUUUAGAUCGUGAUU